rnacentral:rRNA from 1 species
GGAUUAGAUACCCGGGUAGUCCACGCCGUAAACGAUGGAUACUAGCUGUAGGAGGUAUCGACCCCUUCUGUAGCGAAGCUAACGCGUUAAGUAUCCCGCCUGUGGAGUACGGCCGCAAGGCUAAAACAUAAAGGAAUUGACGGGGACCCGCACAAGCGGUGGAUUAUGUUCUUUAAUUCGAUGCUAACCGAAAAACCUUACCAGGGUUUGAAUACCAACGAAUUACUCCGAAAGGAAGUGAGUGCUUAUUGUAACUUGGUGACAGAUGUUGCAUGGCCGUCGUCAGCUCGUGUCGUGAGAUGUUUGGUUAAGUCCAUCAACGAGCGCAACCCUUGUGAAUAGUUGUAUUUUCUUAUUCAGACUGCCCCGGCCAACGGGGAGGAAGGAGGGGAGU